CGAGGGCUCCGUGGUCGCUGCGCAUGCGUUAGCUGAGAGAAGGUGAGAAAGGAGGACAAGUUGGAUUUACCGGAUGUGACAUCACAUUGCUGUUUGUUUUUGCUUUUAUGAAAUAACUACUCUCGAACUCAGACGGCAUGGCUCGCGUCUCAUUCGCGCGCGUAGGUAUGGAUGUGGUCCGCUUUUAGUUUUUGGCGAAUGCUUAGAAGCUUCAAGUUGCAGACACUGCGGUGGGCCAGGGCUUGAUGACAUUUGUUGCACAACUGCUGGUGCUACCGCGACGUACUUGGAACAACGCUUCUGCUUAUUUCCUCUGCCUGCACCUUAUAUUUGUUGUGUUUAUCGAGACCUGGCCUGUCUCUGCCUCGUUGAAGACAAAUGGACACAAGUACUGGUUGCUGUUGGUUUGUUUGGUUUGCUCAGUCUGAGCGUGCUGCAGAGCACUUGACUACUGCAGCAGUCAAGCAUGCUGUAUAUUGGGCAGUGCCAGGAAUUGAGAGAUCGAGACAGGCUGCCACUAGAAGUUCCUUGGGCCAGGUGAUAACUCAAAUACAUCCAAAUAUUUCUAUAUUUCACUUAUAAACCUUUGUAGAAUGAGGAACUUUUCAAGGGUGAAGUUGUUUCACACAAAGGAAAACUAUUACUAAAUAGUGACCAGUUCCUUUUGUUUUGUAAGCCAGAUUGCAUGUAUUUGACAUUGCUUACUGACUCUUAAUUAUUCUCGCUGUCCAAUACAAGCAUAUGCACUCACAUAUGUUUUCAAACAAAACUAUUGUGUGGAGCCAUGUUUGUGGUGGAAUAAAAUUGGUCCCAAUACAGAGCUUUGUGGCACACCAGAUCUUACUAGCGAUCGCGGAGAAGAAAGUUAAUUAAUAGUUACAAAUUGGUACCGGUUAGAUAAGAAUUUACUAAUCCAAUUCGUAGUCCUGUCAAUUUGAAGUUUACUGUCGUUUGUAUAUAGGACCAAGCCGAUGUCCCCUGGCCUGGGCGGUCCCUGGCGCUUCACUUAGUGGUGGCCUUUGAAAAUAGCAGUGUGGCACCAGUGGUUGCAUCAGGAUCUAGGCUCAUGAAGAUAGACAGCAACGUGCACAGGGCAAGGAGUUCGGUGGCCUGGUACUCGUCACAUUUGUGGAGAACACUAUAGUUUAUGCGAGUCCUAGCCCCUACCUAGGGUACCAGUCUGUGCACUGCGCGCGUGU